rnacentral:rRNA from 1 species
CGGGUGCGUAACGCGUAUGCAAUCUACCUUUUACAGAGGGACAGCCCAGAGAAAUUUGGAUUAAUACCUCAUAGUAUAAUGACCUGGCAUCAGGAUGUUAUUAAAGUCACAACGGUAAAAGAUGAGCAUGCGUCCCAUUAGUUAGUUGGUAAGGUAACGGCUUACCAAGACGAUGAUGGGUAGGGGUCCUGAGAGGGAGAUCCCCCACACUGGUACUGAGACACGGACCAGACUCCUACGGGAGGCAGCAGUGAGGAAUAUUGGACAAUGGGCGCAAGCCUGAUCCAGCCAUGCCGCGUGCAGGAAGACUGUCCUAUGGAUUGUAAACUGCUUUUGUACAGGAAGAAACACUACUUCGUGAAGUAGCUUGACGGUACUGUAAGAAUAAGGAUCGGCUAACUCCGUGCCAGCAGCCGCGGUAAUACGGAGGAUCCAAGCGUUAUCCGGAAUCAUUGGGUUUAAAGGGUCCGUAGGCGGUUUAAUAAGUCAGUGGUGAAAUCUGGUCGCUCAACGAUCAAACGGCCAUUGAUACUGUUAAACUUGAAUUAUUGUGAAGUAACUAGAAUAUGUAGUGUAGCGGUGAAAUGCUUAGAUAUUACAUGGAAUACCAAUUGCGAAGGCAGGUUACUAACAAUAUAUUGACGCUGAUGGACGAAAGCGUGGGUAGCGAACAGGAUUAGAUACCCUGGUAGUCCACGCCGUAAACGAUGGAUACUAGCUGUUGGGCGCAAGUUCAGUGGCUAAGCGAAAGUGAUAAGUAUCCCACCUGGGGAGUACGUUCGCAAGAAUGAAACUCAUAUGAAUUGACGG